UCUAAAAAUUUCCCAUUUUAAACCUAAGCCCGCCUUUAGUUCACAAUUCCCCCAAAUUCACUACUUUCACCCUUUGUUUCUAUCUCUAUUGUCUCUCAAUCUCUCCCUCUGAAUCAGUUAUGGAUAAUCUCACUCCUUUAUACCCUGUGUAACUAGCGACCAUCAAAACCACGGGUGACCUUCGUCCUUAAUAACCACCGGCAAAAUUGUAUCCUCCAUGUUCUCGACAACCAUGGAACGCCCUCGUUCCCGUGCUGCCGUGCAUCAUCUUUGAUUGUGAGUUACUAUUUCAAUUUUAUGUAUUUACAUUAUUACUACCCUUACUUAAAUUGCCCUAAUCUUGAGUUUAAGAAAAAAAACCUGGAAAAAAAACCUGAAGCAGUGGAGGUUUAGAUUGGGCGAGAUCUGGUGGUUUCCCUAUGGAGUCGUAUAGACAAACUAAUCUCUAGUCAGAUUCUAAUAAAAGAGAAUGCAAUAUGUAUUGUCUAUACUGUUGUGCGACGUUGGAUUUAUGCUAGGAACUUUGGGUCAAGCAGCCUUUGAGUUAUCUGUAGCUUUCUGGGUUUGUUGGUGUGUUUCUGGGAGGAUGAGUGCAGCUUGUAGUGAGCGCGUGAGCGCAGCCGCAGCGGCGUGACGAGCACAGGUUUGACUUUGAAUUUUGAAGGAAGCUCGCGGUAAUCCAGAAAUCCCAGAAUCGGAUAUAGUUCAAUCGUGCAGAAAGUUAUUAAAUGAAAGACAGAGCGUUAACGUGUGGCGGUAUCUUGAAGCAAUUGAUAAGAGACCUGAUAUUACCGAGGGUUUAAAAAAGUUAAAAUGCCGAACGCUUAUAUUUGUUGGUGACAGCUCAUCGUUCCAUUCAGAAGCUCUACACAUGACUGGAAAAUUGGACAGACGGUAUAGUGCAUUAGUUGAGCCGCAGCGGUGCAGCGAGCGCAACUGGCGAGCGCAGCGGCAGGUUAAUAAAAAAACUAAAAAGUUCCACCUGACAAAGCUUUGGCUGCACUUGCAAUUGAGGACAAGAAAAGGCAAUAUAACAUCGGCGCAGCGAGCGCAGCCGCAACGUCGCAGUGAGCGCAUCUGCAACGCCGCAGCUAGCGCAACCCCAGCGAAUGCAGCCGCAUCAGAGCAGCAACCACACCCCAGCCAGUCAUGCGCAACGCCGCAGCGAGCGCAGCCACAAGGUGACAGCAGUGAUGAUGUUACUGGUGGUAGCAGACGGUGACAACAGGAUGUUCUAGGGUUCCGGUGACGUCAGGAGCUUCUAGGGUUUUGGCAGAAGUAGAACCUAACUCCGGUGAGUGAAACAAAUGCAAUCUCCCUUCAGAUCAGAGAUUUCUAUACCUCGGGUUUGAUUCCUAUAACCUAACCUAGGUUUUCGAUCAAAUUCUGGUGUUGCUGGAGAAGAAAGAUGCAAAUGGGGAAAAUAUGUGUACUGAAUCAUCAACAACAUUUGUACAUAUUGGCAUUCCAUUAUGGCUUGUGGUCUUAAAAAGGGUCAUCUAGAUGCUGCUUUUAGAGUUCAUGAGUAUUCUUACAAAUGUAGGCCAAAGGGCCAUUGGUCCAUUUUAUAAAGCUCAGAUGAGCACUGGUGAAGCAAUUGUUGUUAAAGUCCUUGCAACUGAUUCCAAACAAGGCGACAAAGAGUUCCAAACAGAGUUAUUUAUGAUUUUGAUGAGGAUGUUAUUAUCUGUGAUCGUGAAACGGAGAUGAUUGUUCCCAUUCAUGAAAAGAUGUUUGACUUUGAUAAAGUCAACAAGAUCCAAGAGCUUCUUUCAGUAAUCUCAAAGAGAAUCAAGAAAAGAUAAUCAAAUUAGAUAUUGAAGCAAAAAAAGAAAGAAAGGUAUUGGUGCAUCCGUCGCACGGCCCAAUCCAUUCAUCUCGGUAGUCUAUGAGGAUGCAUGAUGACUCAAGAUUUUAUGCUUCUUAUUUCUUUAAUUGCUUUUAAUUUCUUUGUUAAAUGUUAAGACUUUAUGUUAAAGAAUGUUAUAACUUAUUUAUGGUUAGUGU